AAGGUAGCGAAAUUCCUUGUCGGGUAAGUUCCGACCUGCACGAAUGGCGUAACGAUCUCCCCGCUGUCUCAAACGUGGACUCAGCGAAAUUGAAUUGUCUGUGAAGAUGCAGACUUCCCGCGGUUAGACGGAAAGACCCCAUGCACCUUUACUAUAGCUUCGCACUGGCAUCAGGAUUGUGAUGUGCAGGAUAGGUGGUAGGCGCUGAAACCGGGACGCCAGUUCCGGUGGAGCCAUCCUUGAGAUACCACCCUUCGCACUCUUGAUGUCUAACCGCGGCCCGUUAUCCGGGUCCGGGACCCUGCGUGGUGGGUAGUUUGACUGGGGCGGUCGCCUCCCAAAGAGUAACGGAGGCGCGCGAAGGUUGGCUCAGAGCGGUCGGAAAUCGCUCGUUGAGUGCAAUGGCAGAAGCCAGCCUGACUGCAAGACUGACACGUCGAGCAGAGUCGAAAGACGGCCAUAGUGAUCCGGUGGUCCCGAGUGGAAGGGCCAUCGCUCAACGGAUAAAAGGUACGCUGGGGAUAACAGGCUGAUGAUGCCCAAGAGUCCAUAUCGACGGCAUCGUUUGGCACCUCGAUGUCGGCUCAUCACAUCCUGGGGCUGGAGCAGGUCCCAAGGGUAUGGCUGUUCGCCAUUUAAAGAGGUACGUGAGCUGGGUUUAGAACGUCGUGAGACAGUUCGGUCCCUAUCUGCCGUGGGUGUAGGAUACUUGAGAGGAGUUGCCCCUAGUACGAGAGGACCGGGGUGAACGUUCCACUGGUGGACCAGUUGUCGUGCCAACGGCAGUGCUGGGUAGCUAUGAACGGACAGGAUAAACGCUGAAGGCAUCUAAGCGUGAAGCCCCCCUCAAAACAAGGUAUCCCUUGAGAGCCGUGGAAGACCACCACGUCGAUAGGCCGGAGAUGUACGCGCAGCAAUGCGUUCAGUUGACCGGUACUAAUGGCUCGAUUGGCUUGAUUUG
rnacentral:rRNA from 1 species